GGUUAAGUGACUAAGCGUACACGGUGGAUGCCUAGGCAGUCAGAGGCGAUGAAGGACGUACUAAUCUGCGAAAAGCGUCGGUGAGCUGAUAUGAAGCGUUAUUAACCGGCGAUUUCCGAAUGGGGAAACCUUAUGCAAUUUAUUUUGCAUAAUCGUUAAGUAAAUAAAUAGCUUAAUGAAGCGAACCAGGGGAAUUGAAACAUCUCAGUACCCUGAGGAAAAGAAAUCAACCGAGAUUCCCUUAGUAGUGGCGAGCGAACAGGGAACAGCCCAGAGCUAUCAUCAACUUGUACAUUAGGAAAAUGGUCUGGAAAGUCCGGCAAUAUAGGGUGAUAGCCCCGUAUCUGAAGGUGUACUUGUUGUGAGCUCGAUGAGUAAAACGGGACACGUGAUAUCCUGUUUGAAUAUAGGGGGACCAUCCUCUAAGGCUAAAUACUCCUGACUGACCGAUAGUGAACCAGUACCGUGAGGGAAAGGUGAAAAGAACCCCGGUAAGGGGAGUGAAAUAGAACCUGAAACCGUGUACUUACAAGCAGUAGGAGCAUCUUCCAAGAUGUGACUGCGUACCUUUUGUAUAAUGGGUCAGCGACUUAUAUUCUGUAGCAAGGUUAACCGUAUAGGGGAGCCGUAGGGAAACCGAGUCUUAACUGGGCGUUUAGUUGCAGGAUAUAGACCCGAAACCCGGUGAUCUAGCCAUGAGCAGGUUGAAGAUUAGUUAACACUAAUUGGAGGACCGAACCGACUAAUGUUGAAAAAUUAGCGGAUGACUUGUGGUUAGGGGUGAAAGGCCAAUCAAACCGGGAGAUAGCUGGUUCUCCCCGAAAGCUAUUUAGGUAGCGCCUCGUGAAGUCAUCUACGGGGGUAGAGCACUGUUUCGGCUAGGAAUCUAUCCUGGAUUACCAACCCGAUGCAAACUACGAAUACCGUAGAAUGUUAUCACGGGAGACACACGGCGGGUGCUAACGUCCGUCGUGAAGAGGGAAACAACCCAGACCGCCAGCUAAGGUCCCAAAAUCAUGAUUAAGUGGGAAACGAUGUGGGAAGGCCUAGACAGCCAGGAUGUUGGCUUAGAAGCAGCCAUCAUUUAAAGAAAGCGUAAUAGCUCACUGGUCGAGUCAGCCUGCGCGGAAGAUGUAACGGGGCUAAAUCAUGUACCGAAGCUGCGGCAGCAGCAUUUAUGUGUUGCUGGGUAGGGGAGCGUUCUGUAAGCCUGUAAAGGUAGCUUGUGAAAGCUGCUGGAGGUAUCAGAAGUGCGAAUGCUGACAUAAGUAACGAUAAAGCGGGUGAAAAACCCGCUCGCCGAAAGACUAAGGGUUCCUGUUCAACGUUAAUCGGAGCAGGGUGAGUCGACCCCUAAGGCGAGGCCGAAAGGCGUAGUCGAUGGGAAACAGGUUAAUAUUCCUGUACUUAGCAUAACUACGAAGGGGGGACGGAGAAAGCUAGGUUCGUCGGGCGACGGUUGUCCCGAUUCAAGCGUACAGGUGAAAAAAACAGGAAAAUCCGUUUUUUUAUAACACUAAGGCGUGAUAACGAACUACUAUGGUAGUGAAGGAAUUGAUGCUACGCUUCCAGGAAAAGCCUCUAAGUUCUAGGUUAUGCUGAAUCGUACCCCAAACCGACACAGGUGGUCAAGUAGAGAAUACUCAGGCGCUUGAGAGAACUCGGGUGAAGGAACUAGGCAAAAUGGUGCCGUAACUUCGGGAGAAGGUACACUGGCAUAUAGGUAAAGGUUUUUCCUGAGCUGAAGCCAGUCGCAGAUACCAGCUGACUGCAACUGUUUAUUAAAAACACAGCACUGUGCAAACACGAAAGUGGACGUAUACGGUGUGACGCCUGCCCGGUGCCGGAAGGUUAAUUGAUGGAGUUAACCGUAAGGAGAAGCUCUUGAUCGAAGCCCCGGUAAACGGCGGCCGUAACUAUAACGGUCCUAAGGUAGCGAAAUUCCUUGUCGGGUAAGUUCCGACCUGCACGAAUGGCGUAAUGAUGGUCAGACUGUCUCCACCCGAGACUCAGUGAAAUUGAAUUCGCCGUGAAGAUGCGGUGUACCCGCGGCAAGACGGAAAGACCCCGUGAACCUUUACUAUAGCUUGAUACUGAAUAUUGAACUUUAAUGUGUAGGAUAGGUGGGAGGCUUUGAAGUGUUGAUGCUAGUUAACAUGGAGCCAUCCUUGAAAUACCACCCUUUAACGUUUGAUAUUCUCACUCAGAUCCGUUAUCCGGGUCGAGGACAGUGUCUGGUGGGUAGUUUGACUGGGGCGGUCUCCUCCUAAAAUGUAACGGAGGAGCACAAAGGUUAGCUAAUCACGGUCGGACAUCGUGAGGUUAGUGCAAAGGCAUAAGCUAGCUUAACUGCGAGAGUGACUACUCGAGCAGGUGCGAAAGCAGGUCUUAGUGAUCCGGUAGUUCUGUAUGGAAGGGCUAUCGCUCAACGGAUAAAAGGUACUCCGGGGAUAACAGGCUUAUACCGCCCAAGAGUUCAUAUCGACGGCGGUGUUUGGCACCUCGAUGUCGGCUCAUCACAUCCUGGGGCUGAAGCAGGUCCCAAGGGUAUGGCUGUUCGCCAUUUAAAGUGGUACGCGAGCUGGGUUUAGAACGUCGUGAGACAGUUCGGUCCCUAUCUGCCGUGGGCGUUGGAAGAUUGAGAGGGGCUACUUCUAGUACGAGAGGACCGAAGUGGACGCACCACUGGUGUUCGGAUUGUCAUGCCAAUGGCACUGUCCGGUAGCUACGUGCGGAAGAGAUAACCGCUGAAAGCAUCUAAGCGGGAAACUUUCCUCAAGAUUAGUCUUCCCUGAGACUUUAAGUCUCCUAAAGGGACGUUAAAGACGAUGACGUUGAUAGGUCGGGUGUGUAAGCGUUGUGAAGCGUUGAGCUAACCGAUACUAAUGACCCGUGAGACUUAACCUC
rfam:Enterobacteriaceae bacterium symbiont of Ferrisia virgata isolate GEFVIR genome assembly, chromosome: I